UACGGGGGGGGCAAGCGUUGUUCGGAAUUACUGGGCGUAAAGGGCUCGUAGGCGGCCAACUAAGUCAGACGUGAAAUCCCUCGGCUUAACCGGGGAACUGCGUCUGAUACUGGAUGGCUUGAGUUCGGGAGAGGGAUGCGGAAUUCCAGGUGUAGCGGUGAAAUGCGUAGAUAUCAAGAGGAACACCUGAGGUGAAGACGGGUUGCUGGGCCGACACUGACGCUGAUGCGCGAAAGCCAGGGGAGCAAACGGG
rnacentral:rRNA from 1 species